GAGGAAUAUUGGUCAAUGGGCGGGAGCCUGAACCAGCCAAGUAGCGUGCGGGAUGAAGGCCCUUGUGGUCGUAAACCGCUUUUAUCAGUGAAUAAAGUGCAUCACGUGUGGUGUCAUUGCAGGUAGCUGAAGAAAAAGGACCGGCUAAUUCCGUGCCAGCAGCCGCGGUAAUACGGAAGGUCCGGGCGUUAUCCGGAAUUAUUGGGUUUAAAGGGAGCGCAGGCGGGAGUAUAAGUCAGCUGUUAAAUAUCAGAGCCCAACUCUGUUAUGCAGUUGAAACUAUAUUUCUUGAGUACGCACAGGGAUGGCGGAAUUCAGGGUGUAGCGGUGAAAUGCUUAGAUAUCCUGAAGAACUCCGAUCACGAAGGCAGCCAUCCGGAGCGUAACUGACGCUGAGGCUCGAAGGUGCGGGUAUCGAACAGGAUUAGAUACCCUGGUAGUCCGCACGGUAAACGAUGAAUACUCGCAGUUCGGCCUUUAUGGUCGAGUUGUCCAGCGAAAGCGUUAAGUAUUCCACCUGGGGAGUACGCCGGCAACGGUG
rnacentral:rRNA from 1 species